GUAUCAGGGAAUGAUACGAAUUUAUCCGAAACAUGUCGUCAGAUAAUGGGGAUUUACUUAGUCAAUAACUAUUAUCUGUGGAGUGAAGAAUUCCGUAUGCCUAUUUACAUAAUUAUUCUCUAAAUAAAGCCAAUCAACCUUUGCAUUUAGCUGUCGCCAAAAAUUAAAUUACGUCUUUAAAACUACCGAGGUUGAUGCGUAUGAAGUUAAUUACUUUAUCAUUUAAACCCGUUUUAUCAUUAAACCUGCUUUACCCCCAGGAAGAGAGGUAGCACAAGUUAAAUUCACCUGACACCUCGUGGCCCAAACAUUUAUCCUGUGUUUCAGCUUGUUGGCAGCACGCGCCAUCGGCCUGCAGGGGUCCCAGAGCGCAGCGCUGGCACGCGCGGGAUGCCUGUCAAUCUUCUGAAAGACAAGCAGCAAUGGAUCAUCUUAUUCUGUGUUUCUUCCCCCCUGUGAAUCAAGUCAGGAAACAGAUUCAGAAGUCCAGACUGAGAAGCAGGCCGGCUAACAUCAGCUUGAAGAGCCAGAAUACUGUGUCUCUCACAGGGAUCCUACACAAAUACUCUGAAUGAACGCAGUGGAAUAAUCUCCCCACUCAGACAGGGAACAGAAGCUUGUGUACAUCUGCAGACUGACGGCAGUUUUGUAUCUCAGUAAUAAAUGCUUUAAGCAGCAACAACAUUACAGAAAAAACAUGCCAGCAAAUGUAUUGUUUAUUUCUAACCAGCCUUUGACUUUCAAAGACCGUUAACAGAGGACCACCACCGUCAUUUUAUUCGCUUUUGUUAAUUUUUGUUGUCUACUGCCACCUUGUGGCUACACUGAGAAAACACUUCGAAAUACAACUACAUCUUGAGCGUGACUAAUAAAAACACUUUCCAAGUAUUCCUGCUGAAAAAAGUUUUCCAUGGUCGCGUUUUAAUCAGUAAAUGUCUAGUUUAAUCGAAGCCUGCUGUGCAUAAAUAGUUGAAUAGCACGUUGGAACAGCGGUAAACGCCGAGACAGAUGGGAAGUGGACUUUAUUGACGUGUGAUAAAACCGCGCUCUGGCGUUCCAGGACAGCCUGUUCACAGCUGGAAAUAGCGUCCAGACACGCGUGUGGACCGACCACUUCGGCGGGUCUGACCUUGAACCCAAAACCCACUGGUUUCCCACCUCGGAUCGAGCCGCCUUUCAUCUCCUGUCACCUUCCCCGGUCCAGGGCGCGGAGCGGACGUCUUGUUUUCUGCCCCUCACAGUAAAACACUGUGACCUCCCGUAAAUCACACCCCAUCAGGGCCUCCGGGGGACCAGCAGGUCCUUAAUAUUUACAUGUGCACAAAGCUGUCGAGAAAGACCCCUCGAAAUAACACAGCAACCACGGGUCCUACAAGGGACUCUUA